rnacentral:rRNA from 1 species
CACCUUCGGGUGAGUGGCGGACGGGUGAGUAACGCGUGGGAACGUGCCCUUUGGUACGGAACAACUGAGGGAAACUUCAGCUAAUACCGUAUGUGCCCUUCGGGGGAAAGAUUUAUCGCCAUUGGAGCGGCCCGCGUUGGAUUAGGUAGUUGGUGAGGUAAAGGCUCACCAAGCCUACGAUCCAUAGCUGGUCUGAGAGGAUGAUCAGCCACACUGGGACUGAGACACGGCCCAGACUCC